UACGUAGGUGGCAAGCGUUGUCCGGAUUUACUGGGCGUAAAGCGUAUGCAGGCGGAGUUUUAAGUAGGAAGUGAAAGGUUGGAGCUCAACUCUAACACUGCUCCCUAUACUGGGACUCUUGAGUGCCGGAGAGGAAGACGGAACGACACGUGUAGCGGUGAAAUGCGUUUGAGAUGUGUCGGAACACCAAUGGCGAAAGCAGUCUUCUGGACGGAAACUGACGCUGAGAUACGAAAGCUAAGGUAGCAAACAGG
rnacentral:rRNA from 1 species